rnacentral:lncRNA from 1 species
GAAGUUCGUUCUGAAAUGGGGUAAUUGGUGUAUUGUAUAGUUCUAGAGAUUGGAUUUCACUCAAAACCCACCAAAUGACUCCAACAGUAUUAUGAUGUUCCAAAAGUUUCGAACUCAAUCCGAUGUCGAUUGGUCCUUGAAAUCGGACAAUUCAGGUUCGUACGAAGUUCGUUCUGAAAUGGAGUGGCUGGUGUAUUGUAUAGUUCUAGGGAUUGUAUUUCACUCAAAACCCACCAAAAUGACUCCUCCCACAAUAUUAUGAUGUUCCCCAAGUUUUGUAGUUAAUCCGAUAUCGAUUGGUCCUUGAAAUCGGACAAUUCAGUUUCGUACGAAGUUCGUUCUGAAAUGGGGUAAUUGGUGUAUUGUAUAGUUCUAGAGAUUGGAUUUCACUCAAAACCCACCAAAUGACUCCUCCCACAAUAUUAUGAUGUUCCCCAAGUUUUGGACUCAAUCCGAUAUCGAUUGGUCCUUGAAAUCGAACAAUUCAGGUUCGUACGAAGUUCGUUCCGAAAUGGUGUGGUUGGUGUGUUGUAUAGUUCUAGGGAUCGGAUUUCUCUCAAAACCCAUCAAAUGACAACUACCACAAUAUUAUGAUGUUCCCCAAUUUUUGGACUCAAUCCGAUAUCGAUUGGUCCUUGAAAUCGGACAAUUCAGGUUCGUACGAAUUUCGUUCUGAAACGGAGUGGUUGGUGUAUUGUAUAGUUCUAGAGAUUGGAUUUCACUCAAAACCCACCAAAUGACUCCAACAGUAUUAUGAUGUUCCAAAAGUUUCGAACUCAAUCCGAUGUCGAUUGGUCCUUGAAAUCGGACAAUUCAGGUUCGUACGAAGUUCGUUCAUAAACGGGGUGGUUGGUGGAUUGUAUAGUUCUAGAGAUUCAAUUUCACUCAAAAC